GAAAAAGAAAAACGAAUGGCAAGGCAUGCGAGUCGACGGUCGAGAUCUUCAGUGAAUGCAUGCUCAGGAAACAUGUGUGGACAGCACAACACGUGAUCCGGAGUUUGCAGGCGAACCAAGGCAGUAGUUCUCAGCUCUCUCCUCUUCUCGCCCUUGUCACAGCAAAACCUUAAACCCUACUCUCUCUCUCUCUCUCUCUCUCUCUCUCUCUCUCAAUCUCAAUCCCAAACCCUAAAUUUAGCAAGCAUGCGAAUAAAAAUUUUUGUCCAGUAACCAAAAGGUCCAAAACCCAUUAGCCUAUUUCGCUUUUUCUGUCAAUGUUAACUACUAUUUCAAGGAUGAAGUCCCUUAUAUCCCCACCAUUUUCAUCCAUUCCCAAGGUUACACCUUCCCUCUUCUUCUCUUUACCCUCUAAUUCCAAAUUUCUCUCGUUUCCCACUACUCUUACCAGUCCCAUUUCUCUCCCCCUUAAACCUCCUCCUAUGCUUUCAAUUUUUCCUAUUCAAAAUCGAUGUCUCCACUCCAAUUCUUCCCCCUCUUCCUCCUCCGGCGAGAUUCACGUUAUAGUUGGGCCCAUGUUCGCUGGAAAAACCACAACGCUUCUCCGUCGUAUGCAGUCUGAAAGCAGCGAUGGCAGCUUUCAGGUCACAAGUGUACGUCAAUUGGAUAAAACCUUAAAAGAUCUUUCUUUUUCUGGGAGAACGAGUGAAGCUGUGAGACUGUUAUGGCACACAGGGUUCAAAGUGGAACAUGGUACCUAUGCUCUUCUGUUGCAAGAAUGCAUAUUUGGAAAACAGUAUAAGAAGGGGAAAAGAAUCCAUGCACAUAUGGUUAUUGUAGGGUAUGUUGCCAGUGAAUAUCUGAAGACUAAGUUGUUGAUAUUGUAUGCAAAAUCUGGGGAUCUAAAGACUGCACGUGUGCUGUUUAAUAUGGUGGGGGGGAAAAACUUGAUUUCUUGGAAUGCAGUAAUAGCUGGAUAUGUGCAAAAGAGACAUGAAGAGAUAGGUCUUACUUUUUAUUACAAAAUGAGACAAAAUGGUUUGACACCAGACCAGUAUACAUUUGCAUCUGUGUUUAGAGCUUGUGCUGCUUUAGCAACACUGGAACAUGGUAAGAAAGCCCAUGGUAUUAUGAUAAAGUGUAACCUAAGUGAAAAUGUUGUAGUCAAUAGUGCUCUCAUAGAUAUGUACUUCAAAUGCAGCAAUCUCUCUGAUGGGCAUAAGGUCUUUAGUAAAUCAUUAAACAGGAAUGUUGUUACCUGGACUUCAUUAAUAUCUGGGUAUGGCCAGCAUGGAAGAGUUACAGAGGUUUUAGAAUCAUUUCAUAGGAUGAAAGAUGAAGGUUUCAGACCAAAUUAUGUUACUUUUCUAGCAGUGCUUUCCGCUUGUAGUCAUGGAGGUUUGAUUGAUGAAGCUUGGGAUUAUUUCUUAUCAAUGAAGAGAGAUUAUGGAAUCCAGCCUAGAGGGCAACACUAUGCAGCAAUGGUCGAUCUUUUAGGUCGUGCUGGCAUGUUGCAAGAGGCUUAUGAGUUUGUUUUGGAGGCACCUUGUAAAGAACACUCAGUUGUAUGGGGUGCUUUGCUUGGGGCUUCUAGAAUUCAUGGAGACAUGGACCUGGUAAAUCAUGCAGCCAAGCAAUACUUCAAAUUGGAUCCACAAAAUGCUGGAAAGUAUGUGGUCUUGUCCAAUACUUAUGCCACAUUUGGGUUCUGGGAUGAUGUUGCAAAGGUUAGGAGUAUGAUGAGAGAUUCAGGAAUAAUGAAGGAGCCUGCUUAUAGUAGGAUUGAAGUUCAAGGGGAGAUCCACUGCUUCUUAAUGGGUGAUAAAUCUCAUAGAAAAUAUAAGGAAAUAUGUAGUACAAUUAUCAAAAUGAUGUGCACUUUAAGAGAUGCUGGCUAUGUUCCUGACAUAAGUGAAUUAAUUCAUUUAGAAGAUUGAUAUGCUUUACAUUUUCAAUCCAAAAUAUAGCAUUGUUAUUGGCUGAGCUUCUCAUUGGAUUUCAAGGCUUAGGCUGAUGAUAAUUUGAGAAACGUGGCUGUUAUAAAAUCGAACAGGGAUACAAGAUAUGGUCUUGAUUCAAUAGUGACACAUGAUGGAGUGAAACUGCCAUGUGUGGCCCUGCCUAGUUUGUCAUUGUUUAGACAAAAAUUUGGCUUUGAUGCAUAUGAACAGCUGCAGAUCAUGAUGGGAAAACUUUGAUAGUUGCUGGUCUGGAUGGUGACUAUUUGAGGAGGAGUUUUGGUUCUGUGCUUGAUAUAAUUCCCCUGGCUGAUUCCGUAACUAAGCUAACUGCACGGUGUGAAGUUUGUGGAAAACGGGCUUUCUUUACCAUGAGAAAGACAGAGGAGACAAGGAUAGAACUUAUUGGUGGGGCUGAUGUCUACAUGCCUGUAUGUCG